GAUGAACGCUGGCGGCGUGCCUAAUACAUGCAAGUCGAGCGAACGGACGAGAAGCUUGCUUCUCUGAUGUUAGCGGCGGACGGGUGAGUCACACGUGUAUAACCUCCCUAUCAGACUGGGAUAACUUCGGGACACCGGAGCUUAUACCGGAUGAUAUUUUGAACCGCAUGGUUCGUAAGUGAAAGACGGUCUUGCUGUCACUUCUAGAUGGAUCUGGGCUGCAUUAGCUAGUUGGUAAGGUCACGGCCUACCAAGGCAACGAUGCAUAGACGACCUGUGAGGGGGAUAGGCCGCACUGGAGGUGAGACGGCGACCAUACGACUGAGGGACGGAGCAGUAGGCAACGGGAGGCAAUAGGCGGAAACCUGGCGGAACAACGCCGCGUGAGUGACGAAGGUCUUCGGUGCGUAAAACUCUGUUAUGAGGGAAGAACAUAUGUGUAAGGAACCGUGCACAGAGUGACGGUACCUAAUAAGAAAGCAACGGCUAACUACGUG
rnacentral:rRNA from 1 species